rnacentral:rRNA from 1 species
GAUGAACGCUGGCGGCGUGCCUAAUACAUGCAAGUCGAGCGAACGGACGAGAAGCUUGCUUCUCUGAUGUUAGCGGCGGACGGGUGAGUAACACGUGGAUAACCUACCUAUAAGACUGGGAUAACUUCGGGAAACCGGAGCUAAUACCGGAUAAUAUUUUGAACCGCAUGGUUCAAAAGUGAAAGACGGUCUUGCUGUCACUUAUAGAUGGAUCCGCGCUGCAUUAGCUAGUUGGUAAGGUAACGGCUUACCAAGGCAACGAUGCAUAGCCGACCUGAGAGGGUGAUCGGCCACACUGGAACUGAGACACGGUCCAGACUCCUACGGGAGGCAGCAGUAGGGAAUCUUCCGCAAUGGGCGGAAGCCUGACGGAGCAACGCCGCGCGAGUGAUGAAGGUCUUCGGAUCGUAAAACUCUGUUAUUAGGGAAGAACAUAUGUGUAAGUAACUGUGCACAUCUUGACGGUACCUAAUCAGAAAGCCACGGCUAACUACGUG